ACAUAAUCCUUUUAUAGCCCAUAAAUUUCAAGCUGAAAUCCUAUACACACUUACCUGAGAGUAAGUCCCAUUGGAGCUUCUUCUGAGUAGAUAUAGAUAGGAGUGCCACUGUAAGACAUAUCCAGCUGUAUGCCUUUCAAAUUUAAUUUGUGGGUUAUCUUGGGGAAAAUGCCAAGCGGUCAAUGUGUGCGUGAAAUGUGUCUUACGCAUCAGUGUGUUGUAUUAAAGCUGAAUACUUACUUUUAAACAUGAUGAAUCAAACACAUCUUUGAUCUGUUUCAUUGAACAUGAAUCCUGUGACUUACAUUCUUUUUUAAAAAAAUGCUUUGUUUCCAGCAAUAGCAGCAGGGUACUGGAAGAAACUGGAAGCAUCUGUUUCCACAGGAGACUUCCAUCACAUCAAUAAUUCAGCCUGGCCAGGCAUUCCCUUAAGACCUCCUGACUUUGAGAGAGAAGUGCCUUCAGAGGUUUACGGGGAAGAGGAACCUCUUGCAUAUCAGUGAUAUUUUUACCUUUAGAGUGAAGUUUAGACCAAACCAAUGGAUGUGUAAGCAGCUGAACAUUUGACUUCUAUCUUUGCUUUCCAAAUACAUGAGUUUGCUUAAGUGACUUUUCUUGUACAGAAAUAGUUCUGAUCAUACCAAGUCAAGGGUAUGUCGGUUCAGGUGCUGGUUAAGAUGAAAAUGUCAUCAACAGAUAAGACACAUUAGGAAUCUGAACACAGCAGGCUUUGAUUGUACCCUGCAAGGAAAUCAAUGGUGCAAUCACAGAUCAGAUUUUUGAUAGCAAGUUCCCAAUGUUGGUAAUAUACAUCAUGACAACCCCCCCCCCCAAUAACUUUACUUUAUCUUUUGAUUACACAUUUGCUGCUCGAAUUCCUUAUGUCAUGGCUUGCAGGGAAUGGCAGAAGGUGUAAUGGGCUGAUUUACUUUUUGGUUGCUGUGAUUUGCUGAAUUAAUCUCUACUGACAAUGUUAGCAGUGUUGUAUGCAUUGUUUUAAAGUCACAUUUACAUCAAAAUAUAUAAAAGAGAGUUCAAUGUGAACAAAAGUGUAACAUAUCUAAAGACAAAGUAUAUGGUGAAAUUGAAUGUUUUUAUUAUGGUAAAGGAG